rnacentral:rRNA from 1 species
GAUCCUGGCUCAGGAUGAACGCUGGCGGCGUGCCUAACACAUGCAAGUCGAACGAAGCACCUUUUAAGAUUCUUCGGAUGAUUGAUCGGUGACUGAGUGGCGGACGGGUGAGUAACGCGUGGGUAACCUGCCCUGUACAGGGGGAUAACAGUUGGAAACGGCUGCUAAUACCGCAUAAGCGCACGAGAGGACAUCCUCUUGUGUGAAAAACUCCGGUGGUACAGGAUGGGCCCGCGU